CUAGAGAUAGGACGUCCCCUUCGGGGGCAGAGUGACAGGUGGUGCAUGGUUGUCGUCAGCUCGUGUCGUGAGAUGUUGGGUUAAGUCCCGCAACGAGCGCAACCCUUGAUCUUAGUUGCCAGCAUUCAGUUGGGCACUCUAAGGUGACUGCCGGUGACAAACCGGAGGAAGGUGGGGAUGACGUCAAAUCAUCAUGCCCCUUAUGACCUGGGCUACACACGUGCUACAAUGGACAGAACAAAGGGCAGCGAAACCGCGAGGUUAAGCCAAUCCCACAAAUCUGUUCUCAGUUCGGAUCGCAGUCUGCAACUCGACUGCGUGAAGCUGGAAUCGCUAGUAAUCGCGGAUCANCAUGCCGCGGUGAAUACNUUCCCGGGCCUUGUACACACCGCCCGNCACACCACNANANUUUGUNACACCC
rnacentral:rRNA from 1 species